CUUUCAGGAGUUGAUAUGUGGCUGUUGCUAAGAUCUAGUUCUGUUUCUAAUUCGGCUUCUUCGUUGGGUCCUGUUGGGCUGGAUUGAGGACUAUUGAAUUGAAUCAUUUUCUCAACGUGAUUUGAUGGGUCAUUAACUUGAGCACAAUUAUCCGUGAGGAGAGAUGUUGCACUGUGUUCAAACGAGCCCUUCACAUCAUUUACAAUUGAACAAUUCAAUUGAGGUUUUUCU
rnacentral:misc_RNA from 1 species